GAGGUGGGAGGAUUGCUUGAGUCUGGGAGGUUGAGGCCGCAGUAAGUGGAGAUCAUACCACUGCACUCCAACCAGGGUGACAGAGCAAGACCUUGUCUCA
rnacentral:miRNA from 1 species